CUCUCUAUCUUCAGAUCUGCAAUCACAACUUGCCGGCCAACAGAUCCACUUCCGCUUUAACCCACCAAGUGCACCACAUUUCGGGGGUUCAUGGGAGAGUGAAAUCCGCUCCAUCAAGUCAGCACUACAAAGAAUCCUUGGAUCUCAAACAGUCACUGAUGAAGGUCUGAGAACCAUCCUCACUGAAGUGGAAGGCAUCAUCAACUCAAAGCCUCUUGGCUACACUUCUUCAGAUGUGGCAGACCCAGAUCCAGUGACUCCAAAUAUGCUGCUGAUGGGGCGGCUAGACCCAGCCACACCUCAGGUUGUGUAUCCAGACACCGAGCUCCUCAGUCGUCGCAGAUGGAGACAAUGUCAAGCUUUAGCCGACCAGUUUUGGAUACACUUCAUCAGGGAUUACCUACCUUCUCUUCAGAGCCGUUCCAAGUGGCAGCAGGAUCGUGAAGACAUCUCUAUUGGUGACAUCGUGCUUAUUGUGGACCAGCAACUCCCACGUGCUCUGUGGCUUGUUGGUAAAGUCACAGAAGUUUUCCCUGGAGCUGAUGGAAGGAUUCGCACUUCCAAGAUCCAAGUCAAAGAUAAGACCUACACGAGGCCUGUUGCCAAGCUCAUCAGGCUGCCGGCACUUCCACAAGACAUUCCUGACUGACUUAAUUUGUUCAACUUUGCUCCUCAAAGUUGGGGGCGGCUGUUAACAAGGUUCAUGUUUAUAGUAGUUUUAAAUCAGUUUUUGUUCAUUAUUUGAUUUUUCCUGAGGACCUUGAAUGCCACGCCAUCCCAUAAUAGUUCAUCUGACAUCCCAUAAUAUUGUUUCUCAUGGGAGGGGUCCAUGGACCCCACCUAUUAACCAAUCACCUUUACCAGAACGACACCUGUUCCUUUCCGUCGUCAGUCAGCCUUCGUCGAAGACGCAAGCUGUGUCCCCAUCCGGGGUUUUGCCUUUCCAACCUUUUUAUCUCAUUUCAUAGUCAUGCGUCCAUGAGAAUAAACCAUGACUAAAGCUACAUGACUCAUCAUGACUCAUAACUACCAUAACUAAUAUGGAACUCUGGAACUUCAAUAAAUGAGUGGCAUGAAUGUGAUCCAACGUCUCAUCAUUUGUUCUGGCCGGACAACCUGAGGAGAUUGAGAAUUUAAAUCAGCACAUAAGUUACAGUCCUCUGAGGUCACAAGUUUGGAGCUUAUUCGCCAACACCUCU